CAAGAUGUAGUUUGGAGCACAACAGCGCCCCUAGAGGCCUGUCUUGGUCACAAGAGGGACAAGGCGUUUCGAGGCAAGGCUCAGCGGACCAAAUUAAGCAACCCGCAUGCAACCGGACUGCGCAACUCGGCCGGCGACUAAGAGGAUUAGACGGCAUUGACGUCGCCAGCGGGAUGCGCGGCAACGGGUCAGCGUGCGCUACGUUAGCGGAGGAAAGUUGCCAGCGAUCCAAAUCAAAAAUAAGACAAGCUGGAGCUGCCGUGUUAUGACCUUGUUCUGCUCUGAUUUGCUUGGACCGGGGCAAAGUCCUAUCACCACCAUGUGAGGUGAGAUGCUUCCUCAUGAUGGCAGCAUGCUGUGGACCAUCGUUUCACUGUCUUUUAAAGGAAUACUGUGCACCUGCAGGUUUCUUUGGAUUUGUCCUUACAAUGCUAUCCAGUUCCUGCCAAGGGAAAAACGCACAGCGGGAAAAAGCUUUCCCCAAAAACUACCGACAGGUUGCGAAAACAAAAUGGCCGCCGCCGCCAUACCGGGCUCCCCGAACCGCACGGCAGAACUCCAAAAAAGGCUGAGCAAAACCGAACAGGACAUCCUGUCGCUUAGAACCAGAAUUGCGUGCGAAAGAGCAUCGUGGGAAAGGAAAUUUGCGGAGCUGCAAAGAAAACAGGAGGCGCUUUGCAAUCAGAUCAUCUUUGAGGCGGAGCAAAAAGUGGACAACGGAGACAUUUUCGGAGAGUACUCAAGCAAAGGCAAGUAACUGGCUCAAUUUUGGGGGGAAAUGGGGCAGAGGUCACGCAGACGACUCACCAUGGUAGCCAUCCUUUCCAAUUAGAGCUCACCGAGUCUCGCUGUGAUCUUUCAUCUGGAGGAAGCCUGUCGUCGUCGUCGUCGUCCUUGUCUCCCACACCGCGCCCCACAUCAGCCUGGUCUUGCUCUUCAGCAUCCAGUGUUCAAUCAGGACUCUCUCUGGGGCCACACCGAGUCUUCGUACCGCACUCCCCCUUGGACCUGCACUUGGGCCACCGGGUCCGAAUCAUGCUGCCUUGCGGCCGAAUCAGCACGGGCACCAUCCGUUUCCUGGGCCACCUGCAGGGGGAGUCGGAGCUCCAUCUCGGGGUGGAGCUGCAGGCUCCCGACCACGGCGUGCGCGACGGCCACCACAAGGGACGCUGCUACUUUGACUGCAAACCUGGCUACGGUGCCUUUGUGCCCUUUCACAAGCUCCUGAUGGCCUGGGAAUGAGGCAGGCGCUGACAUGACAGCACUCAACUUGACACAUUUAUCCAAAACAAUCAUCCCUGUCAAGUCCUCUGAGAGCCAUAGUAAAUGCAUGAAAAAGAAAAAAAAUGCUAGGAUGCUACAUUAA